rnacentral:miRNA from 1 species
AUAUUUGUAUAUUUGUGUGUAUGUGUGCAUGCAUAUAGAUGUGUACACACACACACACACACACACACACACACACACACACACACAUA